UUCUUAAAAUAAGAUGUUUGGUUAGAACUAUUGAUUGUUUUCACUUUUGUUAUCUUAGCAGAAUGACGCAUCAUCCAUCAAAAAUGUGAGUGUGAGGACGGUGGGACCAUUCUGGCACACUGAGCAGCAGGGCCCUCCGAGCCCUCAGAUGUCGUCCAGCCAGGUGUGUGGGGGCCACUUGCCAUGCACAGCUUCUCUCAGCAGAGGCUGACCAGAAUGGUGGUGAUAUGAAGAGUUGGGAAAUUCGACUUGAAUACAAAACAUAAUACUGCUUCCACUUAAAAAGGCGAUGAAAAUAGCUACCUCCUUCCAUUGUCCUAUAGGUACCUAUUUGGAAAAAGACAGGCUCAGCCACAC
rnacentral:lncRNA from 1 species